rnacentral:rRNA from 1 species
CCGCAGCAGUGGGGGAUAUUGCACAAUGGGGGGAACCCUGAUGCAGCGACGCCGCGUGGGCGAUGGAGUACUUCGGUAUGUAAAGCCCUAUCAGCAGGGAAGAAAAUGACGGUACCUGACUAAGAAGCCCCGGCUAAAUACGUGCCAGCAGCCGCGGUAAUACGUAUGGGGCAAGCGUUAUCCGGAUUUACUGGGUGUAAAGGGAGCGUAGGCGGCCUGGCAAGCCUGAUGUGAAAUACCGGGGCCCAACCCCGGAGCUGCAUUGGGAACUGCCAGGCUGGAGUGCCGGAGAGGCAGGCGGAAGU